GAUAUGUGAAUACAUAGCAUAUCAGAAGGCACACCCGGAGAACUGAAACAUCUUAGUACCCGGAGGAAGAGAAAGAAAAUUCGAUUCCCUUAGUAGCGGCGAGCGAAACGGGAAGAGCCCAAACCAACAAGCUUGCUUGUUGGGGUUGUAGGACACUCUAUACGGAGUUACAAAGGACGACAUUAGACGAAUCAUCUGGAAAGAUGAAUCAAAGAAGGUAAUAAUCCUGUAGUCGAAAAUGUUGUCUCUCUUGAGUGGAUCCUGAGUACGACGGAGCACGUGAAAUUCCGUCGGAAUCUGGGAGGACCAUCUCCUAAGGCUAAAUACUCUCUAGUGACCGAUAGUGAACCAGUACCGUGAGGGAAAGGUGAAAAGCACCCCGGAAGGGGAGUGAAAUAGAACCUGAAACCGUGUGCUUACAAGUAGUCAGAGCCCGUUAAUGGGUGAUGGCGUGCCUUUUGUAGAAUGAACCGGCGAGUUACGAUUUGAUGCAAGGUUAAGCAGUAAAUGUGGAGCCGUAGCGAAAGCGAGUCUGAAUAGGGCGUUUAGU
rnacentral:rRNA from 1 species